UGGCAGGGCAGCCUAGUGGUUAGAGCGUAGAGGCGGCAGGGCAGCCUAGUGGUUAGAGCGUAGAGGCGGCAGGGCAGCCUAGUGGUUAGAGCGUAGAGGCGGCAGGGCAGCCUAGUGGUUAGAGCGUAGAGGCGGCAGGGCAGCCUAGUGGUUAGAGCGUAGAGGCGGCAGGGUAGCCUAGUGGUUAGA